AGAGUUUGAUCCUGGCUCAGGAUGAACGCUGGCGGCGUGCCUAAGACAUGCAAGUCGAGUGGGUUUAGGCCCACGGCGAACGGGUGAGUAAUAGAUAGGAACUUUCUUUAAGUCGAGCAUAUCCCACCGAAAGGUGGUGCAAUUCUCGAUGUGAUCGCAAGAUUAAAGUCGCAAGACGCUUAAAGUGAGGCCUGUCUCCC
rnacentral:rRNA from 1 species